rnacentral:rRNA from 1 species
UUGCCUCAGUAACGGCGAGUGAAGCGGCAAUAGCUCAAAUUUGAAAUCUGGCUCUUUUAGAGUCCGAGUUGUAAUUUGUAGAGGAUGCUUCGGCUUACGUCUCGGUCUAAGUUCCUUGGAACAGGACGUCACAGAGGGUGAGAAUCCCGUUUGUGGCCGCGACUUCCGCCAUGUGAAGCUCCUUCGACGAGUCGAGUUGUUUGGGAAUGCAGCUCUAAAUGGGAGGUAUAUUUCUUCUAAAGCUAAAUACCGGCCAGAGACCGAUAGCGCACAAGUAGAGUGAUCGAAAGAUGAAAAGCACUUUGGAAAGAGAGUUAAAAAGUACGUGAAAUUGUUGAAAGGGAAGCGCUUGCGACCAGACUUGCCCGCGGAUGCUCAACCGGUCCUUCGGCCGGUGCACUCUUCCGCGGUCAGGCCAGCAUCAGUUCGAGCAGUUGGAUAAAGGCUUUGGGAAUGUGGCUCUCUUCGGGGAGUGUUAUAGCCCUUUGUGCAAUACAACUCGCUUGGACUGAGGCCCGCGCUUCGGCUAGGAUGCUGGCGUAAUGGUCGUAAGCGGCCCGUCUUGAAACACGGACCAAGGAGUCUAACAUCUAUGCGAGUGUUUGGGUGUCAAACCCGUGCGCGAAAUGAAAGUGAACGGAGGUGGGAACCUUUGGGUGCACCAUCGACCGAUCCUGAUGUCUUCGGAUGGAUUUGAGUAAGAGCAUAGCUGUUGGGACCCGAAAGAUGGUGAACUAUGCCUGAAUAGGGUGAAGCCAGAGGAAACUCUGGUGGAGGCUCGCAGCGGUUCUGACGUGCAAAUCGAUCGUCAAAUUUGGGUAUAGGGGCGAAAGACUAAUCGAACCAUUUGCUAGGUGGUUAAGAGGCAUCUCAAAGUGCAUGCCUAGUCCCUACAUUCGGGGCGACACCGUCAAAUUGCGGGGACUUCCUUAGAGCCUGAACUACCGCGGCCGGUCGAAGAUACGGUGCAGCACCAGGUAAUGACCUC